CUUCUUAGCCGUGGCUGCCUCAGAACCUCGAGGAUCGACAUGGACGCUCUCGAGGACUACGUUUGGCCGCGGGCAACCUCGGAGCUUAUACUCCUCCCAGUGACGGGUCUGGAGUGCGUGGGGGACCGGCUGUUGGCGGGCUGGAGUGCAGUGGCACGGUCUCGGCUCCCUGCAACCUCCGCCUCCCAGGUUCAAGUGAUUCUCCUGCCUCAGCCUCCGGAGUAGCUGGGAUUACAGGUGAGGGUCCCGAUGUCCUGGUGUACAGCUUGGACUUUGGUGGGCAUCUGCGGAUGAUAAAGCGAGUGCAGAACCUGCUUGGCCACUAUCUUAUCCAUGGCUUCCGGGUACGGCCAGAGCCUAAUGGAGACCUUGACUUGGAGGCCAUGGUGGCUGUGUUUGGAAGCAAGGGACUCCGAGUUGUGAAAAUUAGCUGGGGACAGGGCCACUUCCGGGAGCUUUGGCGCUCUGGCCUGUGGAACAUGUCUGACUGGAUUUGGGAUGCACGCUGGCUUGAGGGAAAUAUAGCCUUGGCCCUGGGCCACAACUCAGUGGUGCUAUAUGACCCUGU
rnacentral:sRNA from 1 species